AGGAGACCAGAUGGCUGUGAGGACUAGAGGAGGGGACAAGGCAAGCAGUGGAAGACUCCAGCACUGCUGGUCCAGUUUCAGCUCGCAAAGUCAGACUGCACUUUUGGUUGGAGUAAUCAUUCAAAUGACAGUUCCUCUGAAGCCCAGUUCACAUAAUGGAGAUUUGGAGCCGGUAUCAGGCAUUUUUAGCAGGCUCCUGUUCUGACACGACUCUUAUAAUUAAUUGUCUUCUCGCUGAGCGACUGAAAACUGAAGUCUGACCAAAGUACAUCUUCUCAUCGCACACAGAUGUCCCAGUUACUCCACAAAAGGCAGGUUCUCCAUUCCCUGCACAUGUGUCAUGACAAGGCUGUGGAAAAGAGAGCAGCGGUGGAACUGAUGAACGAUCUCUUGCUUUUCAUGGAUAAAGGGCAAACACUUGGACUUCCCCACAGCAGCCACUAUAGUUGCUUGCAAGACACUACUCUAUGGGCUGGGAGUUUUAGCAGGGAUGGGCAGUUAUACCUCAGCCUGUAGAGCCUGGCGCUGGAGUGACACGGGGUUCUAUUCUCCCCUCAGUCCGAUUCGAUAUUUAUAUGCUGCCACUAAAAGAAACUGGGAGCCUUCGUGGACUCUGAUGCCAGCUAUAUGCAGCUGACACACACUUCUCUUUCUCUCUCCUCGGCUUCAGGGGGCCAAGAGCAGCACAAGGGCAAGGAAAAGCUGGCUGAAGUUAAGCUCUAGCAAGAUGGAGAUUAGGCAGGAGGAAACAAAUUAAAAUGCCUUCUGCCACAAAGCACCAAACAAAGACGCGUGUCUGCGAAUUGCUAUAGAGAGGUGCUUCUUGGCUUCUCGCUGCCACCGGAUCCUCACGAAGCUGUGUCCCCAAGAAGUGCGUUCUGUCACUUGCAGCUGGCUAGCCCCAUCGUUGCUGCUGAUCUGUUCUCAAUCAUGCAUCCUUCAUUACCUUCCACCUGGAUUAUUGCACUACGAUUUAUUUAGGCUUGAAAGCAUCGGCCCUGAAGACACUGCAAACAGAUGCAGAAAACAGCAGCUCGCCUCAGCAACACGGAUUACUGAGAGCACAUCAUUCCCAGGCGUGGCUUUCUCUGCUCUGUCCCCUAGAGAACAGUGCAUCGAGUUUGAAAUCCUGGGCCGGGAUUUUCCAAGGAAAACUAGGGGAUUUAAGGAGAGAGCUUCAAAGGUGCACAUGGGAAUUAGGUGCCCAACUCUCAUUGACUUACAAUAAGAAUUGGGCACCUAAAUGCCCUUUGUUCCUUUGAAAAUCCCUUUUAGUCACACAACUCCCAUUACAGUUAAUGGGAGGUGUGUGGCAAAAUCCCCUAAUUGGAUUUGAAAAUCUCAAUUUAGUCCUUAAUCGUGAGGAACAGAGGGGACGUCUACAUGCAAAAAACGCCCCAUGGCAGUGAGUCUCGGAGCCCAGGUCCACAGACCCAGGCUCACAGGGCUUGUGCUAAGAUACUAAAAAUAGCUCUGAAAACUGGCAAGCCUUGGGGUCCUAAGAGCCUGAGUUCCAGCCCGAGAGAUGUGAGAGAAAUGUGGGACUGAGAACAGCUUUGCUUUUGUAACACAUUCAGGCCCCAAUUCAGGACUAGAGCAUCAAAGAGACAGUGUGGUCUAGUGGAUAGAACACCGCACUGGGAUUUAGCUGGCUCUUAUUCCUGCUUCAGCAACUACCUUUCUGCAUGACCUUGGGUGAGUCAUUUCACCUGCCUGUGCCUCAGUUUCUCCUCUGUCUUAUUUAGAUCGUAAGUUCUUUAGGGGAAGGACUGUCUUUCAGUAUGAGCCUAGCACAAUGGCAUCCUGAUCUCAGUUAGAGGCUCUAGUACUGCUAUAAUAAAGUUCGGAAACACAUCUCAGCAUAUGGCUUGUACUUUCCUGGAUGGCCGGGCACCAAAUCUGAGAUUCUGAGAGGAUCUCAUUUCUUGUUCAAGCUCUUUCUGAUUUUCAUAGCUAUGUGCAACAUACAUUUCCUCCAGGACUUCUGCAGUCAAUAUCUGACUCCUGGCAUCUGUUCAUUAUUCCAUUUUCUGGUAGUGAAAGAGUGAAUAGCAAUCAGCAUUCCCGUUAAAAAGUUUUAGGAGAUAAUUACAAUGACGGGAAGUGUACUACAGUCAUUAGAUCAGUCAUGCUGUGUUUGUUGUGAUACCACUAAUCACAUUGAAUUUUCUGGUAUUCAUGUAAAUUACACAUACAAUCCAACAGACAUUCGAUAUUAAUAUAUCAUUAUGUUAACAAACACUUAAAACGUCACUCAAAGAAGAAAAAAAAGUCCAAUGAUCUACGGAAAAGUAUCCGAAGC